GAUGAAGAACGCAGCGAAAUGCGAUACUUGGUGUGAAUUGCAGAAUCCCGUGAACCAUCGAGUCUUUGAACGCAAGUUGCGCCCGAAGCCAUUAGGCCGAGGGCACGCCUGCCUGGGCGUCACACGUCGUUGCCCCCCCCAUCUACUCCUUCGGGAUUGCGGGGGGCGGAUGAUGGCCUCCCGUGUGCCUCGCCGCGCGGUUGGCAUAAAUGCCAAGUCCUCGGCGACGCACGCCACGACAAUCGGUGGUUGCGAAACCUCGGUUGCCCGUCGUGUGCGGUCGUCGCGCAUCGAGGGCUCGAAAAAAUUGCCGGGUUCCGGCUCGGCUUUCAACGCGACCCCAGGUCAGGCGGGGUUACCCGCUGAGUUUAAGCAUAUCAAUAAGCGGAGGA
rnacentral:misc_RNA from 1 species